UUAAAAUUACAGUAACAAAUGUUAUGUCAUGAUAUCUGUGUGUCAUAGAUCUGCCGGCAAUAUGUCCUGGAGCAGGUGUCUAGACUGCCUCAAUGUGAAUCUAGUGCAGGACGCUCCACAGAGCUUGAGAUGAGCAUAGAGGACAGAUGGAACAGAGUACUGCUGGAUACCUCAACCAUGGUGGAGUUCAAAAAGGCACAGCUCCAGCAGGCCACACAGUACCACCAGCAAAAACGGGUUCUCACGGAUACUCUACAUAACCUGGAGGCUGAGCUCAACACAAUGACACCGGAUUGCAUUGACAGCAGCACCUUGCAAGUGGAGAAGCUGAAUGCAUUCCUGAAGAACAUGCAGAAGAAGAGAGGCAUACUAGAGGAACUCCUACAGACAUGCUCUCAGAUUUCAGCCCAUCUGGAUGAGGCAGAGGGACCUGUGGCCUGCAUUGAACCUUUCAGGACUUUACAGGAGAGAUGGCAAACUAUAGAGCGGGUUGCCUCCAGCAGUCUGUGGUGUGCUAACAUCUGCACAGCAGAAGUAUCUGCACUCCUGCAAGAAGCCAGAGAUCUGCACCAUGAACUGGAGCUUCUGGAGAAGUCAGUUUCUCUUCCGCAUCCCUCUCGAGGACAGAUGGACUGCCGAAGUGAGCUACAAGAAACUGUCAGAUCUGCAAACCUGACAGCAUUAGCGGAGCUCUACGUGUACCUUCUUGAGGUCUCUCAGGCUCUUUCCUCAAGUCCGCUGGGAAAAAAAGAGCUCAGAGAUGUGGAGGACGCAAUGCAGGGCCUGAAUUCUCAGCUUGCUCUGACUCAGGAGACGCUCAGCUCUCAGACUUCGAAUGGCAAUGGCUGUUCACCGAUCACGAGGAUUAUCAGGGACUACGUUACAUGGGCUAAACAUUCGGAAAGCAAAGUCAGCAGGAGAAGGAGGUUGGCUCUGUUUCCUGAAGAGGCGAGUCACCAGGUCAGCCACAUGAAGAAACUGCAGUCUGAAAUAUCUCUUAAGAAGUUUCAGUUGGCCUCUGUAUUGAAAGAGCUAAGAGAGGAAGUUACAGGACUUGACAAGGAGGAUUCCAUGUCUCCCACCCUUGCUUCCCUAGAGGAUUUGUAUGUUAAGAUUACAGAGAAGACCGAAUGUGCUGUUGCAGAAAUGAACAGAAUGUUUCAUAUAAGAGAGAGACUGUGGAAACAGAUCACUGACAGCAGCUCUUGGUUAACCUCAGUAUUAGAAAAAGAGUCUGGUAAAACAGUGGCUUCUGAACCUAAAACUACUAUCCCAGAAUUGAGGGUUCAGCUUCAGGUAUGCACAGAGGCUUUGAAGGAAGCUGAGAGACAAGCAAAUAACUUGGAGACUCUGUUAGAUGAAGUAAAAAGUGUGAAUCACGGUCUGAGUGUACUCGAAAGCUUUCAGCUUAUCAAUAGGCUAACAGCCUUACAAGAAGAGGUCUCUAGGGUUGUGAACCGUAAGUGGGCCUUGCACUGGGUGCUUGAAGAACUCCUUCAUGCUCAGGAAUCUUCUGCUGAGGAACAGAACGUUAUUCUGAAGAGCUUGAGACAGAUGAGUGCUGAUGUCAUGAGGCAGAAGUAUCCCGUAACAAGGGACUCGCUCUUGGCUCUUGAACCUGUUCAGCACAUUCUGAUGGAGCUCCUGUGCAAGGUGCCGGAAAUUCCACACUGCCCAGAUUCUCGGAGAAAAGAGAUGCUCAACGCUGUACUAGACCUACAGAGGAGAAUGCAUCUGCUGGAGUUGCAAGCCAAAGAGCAUGAGGAGUGCCUCAUUUUAAGGCAGCACAUAGAGAACUCCAGAGAGGUGGUGAAGAAGAGCUUGUCGCAGAUUGUAGACUCGAGUGUAGGAGCUGACAUAAGGCUCGGCUUUUGUCAGGCUGUCCUGGUGGAGCUACCUCUGGUGAGAAUGACAUGUCAAGAGGCCGCUGACCACCUUGAGGCCAUUUCGAAAGAUCUCUAUCCAUCCCAGCUGACAGCAGAAAGGCAAAAAAUCAGUUUGGUCAUUGAGCAGCUCGCCUCUUGGGAGCUCACAGUAAAAAAUGAGGCUAAAACCCUUGAGUGCUUUCUUGCGAAGCGACUUGGGAGUCCUACAGACCUCAGUCCAUUCACUGAGCUCUUCAACAGUGUCAGGCAGCAGCUGAAGGAGAGCAUCUGCUUGGAGCCAGAUAAUGAGACCAUUGAUGCAGAGCUACGAAAGCACUGGAUGCGAAUCCAGACCGUUGAGUCUGUUCUACGAAUGCUAGAGCACUGCAGGAAAGCAGUAGAUGCUGAAAGCUACCAGACGACCACUGGUCUUGGCCAGAAAACUCUUAAUGAUUGCGGUAUGCAUAUGGUAAGCUCCAUGCGUCCGUGCAUUUUAAAAUCACUAAUACCACUAGAAUGC
ensembl:lncRNA